UAUGUUGUAAAAGAAUACUUAAUUGAACAGUGGAUUCUGAAAUUGUUCAGAUCAAAUGGAAACCAAAAAUACAACAUCUUAUAUUGAUGCACCUCUGAGCUGCACUUGAA